rnacentral:rRNA from 1 species
CACGUAGGGUGCGAGCGUUGUCCGGAAUUAUUGGGCGUAAAGAGCUCGUAGGCGGUGUGUCGCGUCGGCCGUGAAAACCUGCAGCUUAACUGUGGGCGUGCGGUCGAUACGGGCAUCACUGGAGUUCGGCAGGGGAGACUGGAAUUCCUGGUGUAGCGGUGAAAUGCGCAGAUAUCAGGAGGAACACCGGUGGCGAAGGCGGGUCUCUGGGCAGAUACUGACGCUGAGGAGCGAAAGCGUGGGGAGCGAACAGG